UACGUAGGGUGCAAAGGCGUUGUCCGGAAUUAUUGGGCGUAAAGGGUCUCGCAGGCGGAUCUUCUAAGUCUGAUGUGAAAUCGUUGCGGCUUAACCGUAAGCGUCAUUGGAAACUGGAGGACUUGAGUACAGAAGAGGAGAGUGGAAUUCCACGUGUAGCGGUGAAAUGCGUAGAGAUGUGAGGAACACCAAUGGCGAAGGCAGCUCGCUGGACGGUACUGACGCUGAGACGCGAAGCGUGGGAG
rnacentral:rRNA from 1 species